rnacentral:rRNA from 1 species
UACGGGGGGUGCGAGCGUUGUCCGGAAUCACUGGGCGUAAAGGGCGCGUAGGUGGCCUGAUAAGGGUGUGGUGAAAGUCCGGGGCUUAACCCCGGAUCUGCCGUGCCGACUGUUAGGCUAGAGUGCUGUAGGGGCAGGCGGAAUUCCGGGUGUAGCGGUGGAAUGCGUAGAGAUCCGGAGGAAGACCGGUGGCGAAGGCGGCCUGCUGGGCAGAUACUGACACUGAGGCGCAGACAGCGGUGGGAGCAAACAGG